GGAGAGAUGGCCGAGUGGCUGAAGGCGCACGACUCGAAAUCGUGUUUACACUAAUACUGUAACGAGAGUUCGAAUCUCUCUCUCUCCGCCA
rnacentral:tRNA from 1 species